rnacentral:lncRNA from 1 species
GGGCGUGUCGGCCUUGGAGUCUGCCGUUGGGGCGACUUCUGGUUUCGUCGCGGGGGUGAGACCCGACCGUCGGUCGGGGGCCUGCUAGGUUCGACGGGGUCCCGACCCUUUCUUCGCUUUUCCUUCGGACCCUUGAACUCGGUCAAGCGCCGGUCGGAGGCUCCUUCGUCCGUGCGCAUGUACUUGUACGCGCGCUUCAAUAAUUCGGCAUACGUCCGGGGGAGGGUCUUGUCCAGGGAGUAUGUGAACCGGGAUGCCCUCAGCCCCCGUUUCAUGGCCGAGAUAGCCAUGUCUUUGUUGAGGUCCCGGACCUCAAGCGUGGCCGCGUUGAAUCGCGUCACGAAGUGUCGGAGCAUCUCGUUUUCUCCCUGUUUGAGGACGAAAAGGCUGUCCGACGUUCACGGCGGCUUCCGGCUGGUGCUGAAGUGAGCCACGAAAGAGUGCUCGAGCUGCCCGAAGGAGUGGAUACUUUCCGAUCGAAGAUCGGAGUACCAGGUCCUGACAGCUUUGCAUAGCGUGACGGGGAAGCCGAUGCAAAAGAGGGCGUCAGUUGCCCCUUGAAUCGUCAUGAGAGCUUUAUAGCUCUCCAGAUGGUCGAUUGGGUCGGUGGAGCCGUCGUAGGGCUCCACAUGCGGCAUCUUGAACCAACGAUUAUCCAACGGCGGCGGUGAUGGCGAAUAGUUGAAUAGUGUAAAAAAUAAAUAUAAUUUUUUUUUAUUUUUUGGUCCAGUCAGACUAGUCCGGCCCAACCCAUCUCAACUCUUGGACUGAUGUGGGAUGGACCAAAAAGUCCGAUUGUUAUUUGGGCUACCAACAUGGCAGCCUAGCCCACCUCAUUAACAAGGUUGAGCCGGACUGGCCCUGUGGGCCAAGCCCAAUGAGACAGCUCCAGUUGGAACGCGAAUCUCCA